AUACUGUACAACAAUAAUUACUAUUUUUGCAUUAUUGUAAGGGGUAGGUUUAGGGUUGGGGUAGGUUAAGACGUUAAUAAAACACAAUCUAAAUUUA